GGGCCCGCACAAGCAGUGGAGUAUGUGGUUUAAUUCGAAGCAACGCGAAGAACCUUACCGGGGCUUGACAUCCACAGAAGUUCCAGAGAUGGAAUGUGCCUUCGGGAACUGUGAGACAGGUGGUGCAUGGUUGUCGUCAGCUCGUGUCGUGAGAUGUUGGGUUAAGUCCCGCAACGAGCGCAACCCUUAUUGUCAGUUGCUAACAUUUAGUUGAGCACUCUGGCGAGACUGCCGGUGACAAAUCGGAGGAAGGUGGGGAUGACGUCAAAUCAUCAUGCCCCUUAUGUCCCGGGCUACACACGUACUACAAUGGCCGGACACAACGGGAAGCAAGGGCGCGAGCCGGAGCGAAUCCCAAAAAGCGGCCUCAGUUCGGAUUGCAGGCUGAAACCCGCCUGCAUGAAGUCGGAAUUGCUAGUAAUCGCGGAUCAGCAUGCCG
rnacentral:rRNA from 1 species